CAGUCGCCACGGGAAUACGUAGGGUGCGAGCGUUAAUCGGAAUUACUGGGCGUAAAGCGUGCGCAGGCGGUUAUAUAAGACAGAUGUGAAAUCCCCGGGCUCAACCUGGGACCUGCAUUUGUGACUGUAUAGCUAGAGUACGGUAGAGGGGGAUGGAAUUCCGCGUGUAGCAGUGAAAUGCGUAGAUAUGCGGAGGAACACCGAUGGCGAAGGCAGCCCCCUGGGCCAAUACUGACGCUCAUGCACGAAAGCGUGGGGAGCAGACAGGAUUAGAUACCCCAGUAGUCCCUGUCUCUUAUAC
rnacentral:rRNA from 1 species